rnacentral:rRNA from 1 species
UACGUAGGGUGCGAGCGUUGUCCGGAUUUAUUGGGCGUAAAGAGCUCGUAGGCGGUUUGUCGCGUCGGCCGUGAAAUCUCCACGCUUAACGUGGAGCGUGCGGUCGAUACGGGCAGACUUGAGUUCGGUAGGGGAGUGUGGAAUUCCCGGUGUAGCGGUGAAAUGCGCAGAUAUCGGGAGGAACACCAGUGGCGAAGGCGGCACUCUGGGCCGGAACUGACGCUGAGGAGCGAAAGCGUGGGUAGCAAACAGG